UAAGGAAUAUUGGUCAAUGGACGAAAGUCUGAACCAGCCAUGCCGCGUGAAGGAUGAAGGCCCUCUGGGUUGUAAACUUCUUUUAUAUGGGACGAAAAAAGGGAAUUCUUUCUCACUUGACGGUACCAUAGGAAUAAGCACCGGCUAACUCCGUGCCAGCAGCCGCGGUAAUACGGAGGGUGCAAGCGUUAUCCGGAUUCACUGGGUUUAAAGGGAGCGUAGGUGGGCAAGUAAGUCAGUGGUGAAAUCU
rnacentral:rRNA from 1 species